rnacentral:rRNA from 1 species
AUGGCCAAGAUUUUCACCAAGGUCCUGUCACUACGCCUGGCCCCCAAGCUCGACGCCCUUGUCAGCCGCAAUCAAAACGCAUUCAUCACCGGACGUGGCCUACACGACAACUUCAUCCUUGUCCGGCAAUCUCUCAGGUUGCUGCAUCAACUUGGCGCACCUAGGAUCAUGCUCAAGCUCGACCUCACGCGUGCCUUCGACUCCAUCUCCUGGCCCUUUCUUUUUGAGUGCUGCGCCAAUACGGGUUUGGAGACCGAUUCAGAGAAUGGCUGGCCAUACUUCUGUCCACGGCGAGCACUCGGGUCAUGCUCAACGGUGUCCCCGGCCCGCCGAUUUGGCACCGCCGCGGCCUGCGGCAAGGCGACUCCACCUCCCCGCAGCUCUUCGUGUUGGCGGUGGGCACGCUCGGGCGGCUGA